GCUCUUCUGCUUCUGGAGCCCGUAUCUCUCUCUCUCUCCUCAUGCCCUUGGGCAUGGCAUCUAGUCCCCUCUGGCACUACCCCAUGUCAGCUUGCGUGACAGACCCUGGUUUGGUACAAAACCCACGCCAACAGUUGGUGCUGGCCCUGACACAGACUUUGCGGUGGAACCGUUGUUUUGGUGAGUGAGAGAGAGAGAGCCACUGUGUUUGUGCUUUUGGUCCCCAUCUGGUUCAGUGUGUCUGCGAAGAAAGGGCCGAGGAAGUAAAAAAAUGGAUUUUGCGUGCAUUGAUCGAUCCAGGUGGGGAAAUGACUCUAGAUGAGUCCGUUGAAGUUUGAAUGUUGGGUUGUUGUUGUGAUCUAGCAUUCUGAUUGUUAUCUUCCUCUGCUCAUAACUGCUUCCGGGGAUGCGUGGUUACAGAGGCUAACGUUGCACUUAACUUGAGAUGUGGAUUAGAGCCUCUCGCUGGGUUGGGUUUCCUCGUCAUCACCGGUAACGGAACUAGUUGGACUGUAUGUUGCCAAAUGAGCUUGACGGAUGACUUGAGGAUGGAGCUAGAGCCCGCUUUCUAUUCUUUGGAUUAUGGAUUAAUAGCAACAAUGAUAAUGAAAUCAUGGUGAUUCUGAAGUCCAAGAAGUCCAUCGUCGACAAGAUCAUGUUAGAGUAAGAAUAUUAAAAAAAGCGUUUUAUGUAGCCACUUUGUAGCAAUAUUUGAAGAUGAUUCAGAUCCUACGGGACGGCUCCUUUCAGACUUGUUGCUAGCUUCUUUGGCCUAAGCUCUGAGUGCAACAUUGUAUAAAUUUCGGGGACAUUCAUAUGGUUCAGAUUGCGGUGUGUGGGUGCGUGAUACUAGGAAGAGGGAAGAGCAGGCAUCGCUCCACAAAUCCAAUUUACUACUUCACCCAAUGUACUUCUGUACUAUCAACACAAGAAGAUUACAUCUUCGCAGAAUAAUUUGCCAAUGGAUUCCGAAGACUCGUCCGCCGAAAGUUGCACGCAAAAUUGCUUAGACAGCCCUUCAGCGAUGGAAGGCGUUACUCACGUCCAUGAAAUAUGUUCACAAAAUCUGAUACAGAAACAUAGAUAAUUAGAUGGAACGAGUUCUUUAAAACGCGGUCUAGUGAAAAGAUCCCAAUUUUCGGAGUCAUUCUACAAAUUCUGCAUCUUAGCAUUAAAAGUUUACGAUAGAACUAGCUUUUUUGUGUCCUAAAUAUUCCGCAAUGUUCAACUUGAUAGAGAAAGGAAUUAGAAACAUUCACUUCGAGACUCUGGAACAAUGCAAAAACCUUCUAUAGAGUGCGAAGGAGAAUGUGUUUUUGUUUUUGUAUUGCUACACCUGCUCACUUCUUCCUUUGCACCGUGAUCAUUUUCGCUGUUGUAUUUUUGGAAGCAAGAGUAAUAAAUAUUAGUACUAUUAACUCAUA